CAGCCGCCGCGGUAAUACCAGCAGCCCAAGUGGUGGUCGCGUUUAUUGGGCCUAAAGCGCUCGUAGCCUGGCCGGUAAGUUCCCCGUGAAAUCGGGUCGCCCAACGAUUCGGCUUGCGGGGAAUACUGUCGGUCUUGGGGCCGGGAGACGCCGAGGGUACUCCGGGGGUAGCGGUGAAAUGCUGUAAUCCUCGGGGGACUACCAGUGGCGAAGGCGCUCGGCGAUAACGGGCCUGACGGUGAGGGGCGAAAGCUGGGGGCGCGAACGGGAUUAGAUACCCCUGUAGUCCCUGUCUCUUAUA
rnacentral:rRNA from 1 species